rnacentral:rRNA from 1 species
UUAAUUAAAAGAUGUAAUAUUACUUUUCACGAAGUUGAGGGAGCUAGUUAUUAUAUAUUUAUAGAUGUCAAGAUGUUACAUAAUUUAGAAAAUAAUAAUUAGGAGUGAGAGGCUUUUCAUACUCAACGAUAACUUGAUGGUUUAGAAAUGUACAAGUACAUUGGCACUCUUGGAAUGACAAGGUUACAAGAGCUCAACAAAUAUUUUAUUGGGGUAUAUAUCUAAUUUAAUCGUUAAUAUAAUAAUACUAUAAUAUUAAUUUACUAUAAUUGUUUAAUUUAUAAACUUAUAAGAAAAUAGUUUUAAAUAUAAGUAAUGUUAAUAUUAGUAUCAAAAAGAUGUUGAUAAUGAACUCGGCAAGAAGUCUUUCAACUGUUUAUCAAAAACAUAGCUAUAUGAAUUACUAUAUAGUGUUUUCUGCUCAAUGAAUUUUAAAUAGCCGCAGUACCCUGACUGUGCUAAGGUAGCGCAAUCAAUUGACUUUUAAAUGAAGUCCAGUAUGAAAGAAACCAUGGGGGGCUACUUUUUCGUUGGCACUUAUCGAAUUUACUUAUGAAGUGCAAAUUCUUCUUUAAAAAUAAAAGACGAGAAGACCCUAGAAAUUUUAAGGAGAAACUUUUUGUUGGGGCAACAAAGUAGCAAUAAGUAAUCUACUAUUAUAACUGGAAAGAUAUAUCUGGUAAGAUUAAAUUACUCUAGGGAUAACAGCAUAAUUUGGAAAAGUUUGUGACCUCGAUGUUGGAUUAGGGAAUUUAAGUUUAGAAG